AAGUCGUAACAAGGUUUCCGUAGGUGAACCUGCGGAAGGAUCAUUAGAGAAAUAAAUCCAAAAAACUGUGCACUAAACUUUUUAAAUUAAACAGUCACAAUAUAAAUGAUACAACUUUUAGCAACGGAUCUCUAGGUUCUC
rnacentral:misc_RNA from 1 species